rnacentral:misc_RNA from 1 species
AAGCCGCUAUUCGAAGACCCUCCUCCACAUCAGAUUCACCUUCUGGCCUUGACGGCUAUCAGAAUUUGUCAUCCAAGACUAGUACCGACUUUAAAAGGAGAAAUAAAUCCAAGGAAAAGUUCGAGUUCGAUGAGAACAAUGCCCAGAUCUUUAGGUUGAAGCUCGAUGAAGCUCAUCUUCAAUCUCGCCUCUACUUCCAUGAUUACUGGUAUUCCUUUAUUUGCUCAUCAGUUGCGCUUUCUUGCUUGUUGCUUUAUAAGUAUUUGGAUGUGGUUGAACAUGAUGGGAUCUUUGCAAUUGGAUCUUUAAUUCCACUGAUUUUAGGAUUUGCUGGCUUAUCCAAAUUAUUUUUAUCGUUAGCAAGAGCUUCGUUAGAGAAAUCUGCCUCGAAGAGGUCGGACAAACAAUUGAGUGCGCUUUUGGGGAUUCUGGCCUUCCUUUUUGGGCUUAUGAUUUGUUCAGGAGUUUUUCAUUCGGUUUUUGACUUCGAUUUUGGUUCAGUUGACGGCUAUGGAAGGGUUUUUGUUGCAUUUUUAAUGGGAUGCCUUGCUGGGUUUAUGUACAUGCCAGCGGCCAAGAAUGCACGGGCAUUUUGGCUUGGAACAGAUCAGCUUAGGUCUAAUAUGGCUAUGAUUUCCUGUGGAUGGUUUGCUAGGAUCAUCCUAUAUGCCAAUUAUUUGUUGUCUUUUUUCACAGCAUUGCUUUGGAUUAAUCCAUUAGGUGAUUUUCUUAUCAGCAAAACCAUUGUUUAUAGUAAAAGAACAUAUUCAAAUUCAAGCAGCAGUGCUGGAGAUGCUAACAAGUUAGUUGGGAAUGUCGGUUUUACGCAAUCAGAGUUUUCAAAGGUUAGGCUUUGGUGCUUGUUACUUUCGGGGCUUGUCCAGAUUGUGGCUUUACGGCCAAACUUGCAAAUGUAUUUGAAUGAAGCAUUGUUGUCUUGGUACCAGCGGUUGCACGCCAGCAAGGUUCCAGAUNGAUUUGGAUUUCAGCAGAGCUAAGGUUUUUUUGCACAACCACUACUUAUGUCUUGUAGUUUUGCAGUUUUUAGCACCGCCAACUCUAGCACUUCUCUUCCUUGGUCUAUCUCAGAUUGGUAUCCCAUUUAAGAAUUUACAAUUGUUAUGCAGUUUACUUCCUUGUAGUGCUUUUGUGAAAGAAGUGACUUUGCUUAUGGCCUGGUGGGUUAUCUUUCUUUGGGCAGUUUUUACUUCAGCAAGUCUAUUCUUGUACCGUCGUGGCAUUUUGUAUGUUUCUUGAUUGAUUUUAAUGUUUUUCCUGGUGGACUUCAAUGCUGUGUCUGGGACUACAUUAAAAUCAAUCAAGAAACAUACAAA